rnacentral:rRNA from 1 species
CUAGCGACUUCAGAGUUUGAUCCUGGCUCAGGAUGAACGCUGGCGGCGUGCAUAACACAUUCAAGUCGAACGGACGAGGCCCUUCGGGGCCGAGUUAGUGGCGGACGGGUGAGUAACGCGUGAGCAACCUGCCCUUGCGCAGGGGACAACAGCUGGAAACGGCUGCUAAUACCGCAUAACACACACUGAUCGCAUGAUCGGAGUGUCAAAGAUUUUAUCGUGCAAGGAUGGGCUCGCGUUGGAUUAGAUAGUUGGUGAGGUAACGGCUCACCAAGUCGACGAUCCAUAGCCGGACUGAGAGGUUGAACGGCCACAUUGGAACUGAGAAACGGUCCAG